GACGAACGCUGGCGGCGUGCUUAACACAUGCAAGUCGAACGGAAAGGCCUCUUUCGGGGGGUACUCGAGUGGCGAACGGGUGAGUAACACGUGAGUAACCUGCCCUUGACUUUGGGAUAACUUCAGGAAACUGGGGCUAAUACCGGAUAGGAGCUCCUGCUGCAUGGUGGGGGUUGGAAAGUUUCGGCGGUUGGGGAUGGACUCGCGGCUUAUCAGCUUGUUGGUGGGGGAGUGGCUUACCAAGGCUUUGACGGGUAGCCGGCCUGAGAGGGUGACCGGCCACAUUGGGACUGAGAUACGGCCCAGACUCCGACGGGAGGCAGCAGUGGGGAAUAUUGCACAAUGGGUGGAAGCCUGAUGCAGCAACGCCGUGUGCGGGAUGACGGCCUUCGGGUUGUAAACCGCUUUCGCUCAUGACGAAGCUUUGUGUGACGGUAGUGGGUAAAGAAGCACCGGCUAACUACGUG
rnacentral:rRNA from 1 species